UACGGAGGGUGCAAGCGUUAUCCGGAUUCACUGGGUUUAAAGGGAGCGUAGGUGGGUUGGUAAGUCAGUGGUGAAAUCCCUAAGCUUAACUUGGGAACUGCCAUUGAUACUAUUAAUCUUGAAUACCGUGGAGGUCAGCGGAAUAUGUCAUGUAGCGGUGAAAUGCUUAGAUAUGACAUAGAACACCAAUUGCGAAGGCAGCUGGCUACACGAAUAUUGACACUGAGGCUCGAAAGCGUGGGGAUCAAACAGG
rnacentral:rRNA from 1 species